rnacentral:rRNA from 1 species
AUUGAACGCUGGCGGCAUGCCUUACACAUGCAAGUCGAACGGCAGCGCGGACUUCGGUCUGGCGGCGAGUGGCGAACGGGUGAGUAAUACAUCGGAACGUACCCUGUUGUGGGGGAUAACUAGUCGAAAGAUUAGCUAAUACCGCAUACGACCUGAGGGUGAAAGUGGGGGACCGCAAGGCCUCACGCAGCAGGAGCGGCCGAUGUCUGAUUAGCUAGUUGGUGGGGUAAAGGCCCACCAAGGCGACGAUCAGUAGCUGGUCUGAGAGGACGAUCAGCCACACUGGGACUGAGACACGGCCCAGACUCCUACGGGAGGCAGCAGUGGGGAAUUUUGGACAAUGGGGGCAACCCUGAUCCAGCAAUGCCGCGUGUGUGAAGAAGGCCUUCGGGUUGUAAAGCACUUUUGUCCGGAAAGAAAUCGCGCUGGUUAAUACCUGGCGUGGAUGACGGUACCGGAAGAAUAAGCACCAGCUAACUACGUG